GAUGAACGCUGGCGGCGUGCCUAAUACAUGCAGGCGAGCGAACGGACGAGGAGGCUGCUUUCCUGAUGUUAGCGGCGGACGGGUGGGUAAAACCUGGGUAACCUACCUAUAAGACCGGGAUAACUUUGGGAAACCGGAGCUUAAAACGGAAAAUAAUUUUAAACGCAUGGUUCAAAAGUGAAAGACGGUCUUGCUGUCAACUUAAGAAGGAACCGCGGUGCAUUGGCUAGUUGGUAAGGUAACGGCUUACCCAGGCAACGAUGGAUAGCCGACCUGGUAGGGUGAUCGGCCACACUGGAACGGAGACGCGGUCCAGACUCCUACGGGAGGCAGCAGUAGGGAAUCUUCCGCAAUGGGCGAAAGCCUGACGGAGCAACGCCGCGUGAGUGAUGAAGGUCUUCGGAUCGUAAAACUCUGUUAUUAGGGAAGAACAUAUGUGUAAGUAACUGUGCACAUCUUGACGGUACCUAAUCAGAAAGCCACGGCUAACUACGUG
rnacentral:rRNA from 1 species